rnacentral:rRNA from 1 species
GAAGGUUGGGUAACACUAACUGGAGGACCGAACCGACUAAUGUUGAAAAAUUAGCGGAUGACCUGUGGCUGGGGGUGAAAGGCCAAUCAAACCGGGAGAUAGCUGGUUCUCCCCGAAAGCUAUUUAGGUAGCGCCUCGUGAAUUCAUCUCCGGGGGUAGAGCACUGUUUCGGCUAGGGGGCCAUCCCGGCUUACCAACCCGAUGCAAACUGCGAAUACCGGAGAAUGUUAUCACGGGAGACACACGGCGGGUGCUAACGUCCGUCGUGAAGAGGGAAACAACCCAGACCGCCAGCUAAGGUCCCAAAGUCAUGGUUAAGUGGGAAACGAUGUGGGAAGGCCCAGACAGCCAGGAUGUUGGCUUAGAAGCAGCCAUCAUUUAAAGAAAGCGUAAUAGCUCACUGGUCGAGUCGGCCUGCGCGGAAGAUGUAACGGGGCUAAACCAUGCACCGAAGCUGCGGCAGCGACACUCAGGUGUUGUUGGGUAGGGGAGCGUUCUGUAAGCCUGCGAAGGUGGCCUGUGAGGGUUGCUGGAGGUAUCAGAAGUGCGAAUGCUGACAUAAGUAACGAUAAAGCGGGUGAAAAGCCCGCUCGCCGGAAGACCAAGGGUUCCUGUCCAACGUUAAUCGGGGCAGGGUGAGUCGACCCCUAAGGCGAGGCCGAAAGGCGUAGUCGAUGGGAAACGGGUUAAUAUUCCCGUACUUGGUGUUACUGCGAAGGGGGGACGGAGAAGGCUAUGUUGGCCGGGCGACGGUUGUCCCGGUUUAAGCGUGUAGGUGUGUGUUCCAGGUAAAUCCGGUU